rnacentral:rRNA from 1 species
GACGUAGGGCGCGAGCGUUUGUCCGGAUUUAGUUGGGCGUAAAGAGCUCGUAGGCGGCUUGUUGCGUCGGCUGUGAAAACCCGCAGCUCAACUGUGGGCUUGCAGCCGAUACGGGCAGGCGUUUGAGUUCGGAUGAGGGGAGACGUGGGAAUUCCUGGAUGUAGCGGUGAAAUGACGCAGAUAUCAGGAGGGAACACCGGUGGCGAAGGCGGGUCUCUGGGC